UAAGGAAUAUUGGACAAUGGUCGCAAGACUGAUCCAGCCAUGCCGCGUGCAGGAAGACGGCCCUAUGGGUUGUAAACUGCUUUUGUACCAGAGAAAACCUAUCUACGUGUAGAUAGCUGAUAGUAUGGUAAGAAUAAGCAUCGGCUAACUUCGUGCCAGCAGCCGCGGUAAGACGAAGGAUGCAAGCGUUAUACGGAUUAAUUGGGCUUAAAGGGUGCGUAGGCGGGCUUGUAAGUCAGUGGUGAAAUCUCUCAGCUUAACUGAGAAACUGCCAUUGAUACUGCAGGCCUAGAGUAUAGAUGACGUUGGCGGAAUAUGACAUGUAGUGGUGAAAUACUUAGAUAUGUCAUAGAACACCGAUUGCGAAGGCAGCUAACGAAACUAUAACUGACGCUGAGGCACGAAAGUGCGGGGAUCAAACA
rnacentral:rRNA from 1 species